rnacentral:rRNA from 1 species
AACGGGUGAGUAACACGUGAGUAACCUGCCCCUGACUUCGGGAUAACUUCGAGAAAUCGUGGCUAAUACCGGAUAUGACACGUGCCUGCAUGGGUGUGUGUGGAAAGAUUUAUCGGUUGGGGAUGGGCUCGCGGCCUAUCAGCUUGUUGGUGGGGUGAUGGCCUACCAAGGCGACGACGCCUAGCCGGCCUGAGAGGGUGACCGGCCACACUGGGACUGAGACACGGCCCAGACUCCUACGGGAGGCAGCAGUGGGGAAUAUUGCACAAUGGGCGAAAGCCUGAUGCAGCGACGCCGCGUGAGGGAUGACGGCCUUCGGGUUGUAAACCUCUUUCAGUAGGGAAGAAGCCCUUCGGGGUGACGGUACCUGCAGAAGAAGCGCCGGCUAACUACGUGCCAGCAGCCGCGGUAAUACGUAGGGCGCAAGCGUUGUCCGGAAUUAUUGGGCGUAAAGAGCUCGUAGGCGGUUUGUCGCGUCUGCUGUGAAAACGCAAGGCUUAACCUUGCGCCUGCAGUGGGUACGGGCAGACUAGAGUGCGGUAGGGGAGACUGGAAUUCCUGGUGUAGCGGUGGAAUGCGCAGAUAUCAGGAGGAACACCGAUGGCGAAGGCAGGUCUCUGGGCCGUUACUGACGCUGAGGAGCGAAAGCAUGGGGAGCGAACAGGAUUAGAUACCCUGGUAGUCCAUGCCGUAAACGUUGGGCACUAGGUGUGGGAUCCAUUCCACGGG